rnacentral:rRNA from 1 species
GGCCAGACUCCUACGGGAGGCAGCAGUGGGGAAUAUUGCACAAUGGGGGAAACCCUGAUGCAGCGACGCCGCGUGAGCGAGGAAGUAUUUCGGUAUGUAAAGCUCUGUCAGCAGGGAAGAAGAAUGACGGUACCUGAAGAAGAAGCACCGGCUAAAUACGUGCCAGCAGCCGCGGUAAUACGUAUGGUGCAAGCGUUAUCCGGAUUUACUGGGUGUAAAGGGAGCGCAGGCGGUUCUGCAAGUCUGAUGUGGAAGGCCGGGGCUCAACCGCGGGACUGCAUUGGGAACAGCGGGGCUGGAGUGUCGGAGGGGUAAGCGGAAUUCCUGGUGUAGCGGUGAAAUGCGUAGAUAUCAGGAGGAACACCGGUGGCGAGGGCGGCUUACUGGACAAUGACUGACGCUGAGGCUCGAAAGCGUGGGGAGCAAACAGGAUUAGAUACCCUAGUAAC